rnacentral:rRNA from 1 species
GACAGCAGCCGCCGCGGUAAUACAGAGGGUGCGAGCGUUAAUCGGAUUUACUGGGCGUAAAGCGUGCGUAGGCGGCUUCUUAAGUCGGAUGUGAAAUCCCUGAGCUUAACUUAGGAAUUGCAUUCGAUACUGGGAAGCUAGAGUAUGGGAGAGGAUGGUAGAAUUCCAGGUGUAGCGGUGAAAUGCGUAGAGAUCUGGAGGAAUACCGAUGGCGAAGGCAGCCAUCUGGCCUAAUACUGACGCUGAGGUACGAAAGCAUGGGGAGCAAACAGGAUUAGAUACCCGUGUAGUCCCUGUCUCUUAUAA